AACGAACGCUGGCGGCAGGCCUAACACAUGCAAGUCGAGCGAGGACUUCGGUUCUAGCGGCGGACGGGUGAGUAACGCGUGGGAAUGUGCCCUUCUCUACGGAAUAGCCCUGGGAAACUGGGAGUAAUACCGUAUACGCCCUAUUGGGGAAAGAUUUAUCGGAGAAGGAUCAGCCCGCGUUGGAUUAGGUAGUUGGUGGGGUAAUGGCCUACCAAGCCGACGAUCCAUAGCUGGUUUGAGAGGAUGAUCAGCCACACUGGGAUUGAGACACGGCCCAGACUCCUACGGGAGGCAGCAGUGGGGAAUCUUAGACAAUGGGGGCAACCCUGAUCUAGCCAUGCCGCGUGAGUGAUGAAGGCCUUAGGGUUGUAAAGCUCUUUCAGCUGGGAAGAUAAUGACGGUACCAGCAGAAGAAGCCCCGGCUAACUCCGU
rnacentral:rRNA from 1 species